rnacentral:rRNA from 1 species
UACGUAGGGUGCAAGCGUUGUCCGGAAUUAUUGGGCGUAAAGAGCUCGUAGGCGGUCUGUCACGUCGGGAGUGAAAACCUGGGGCUUAACCCCGGGCCUGCUUUCGAUACGGGCAGACUAGAGUUCGGCAGGGGAGACUGGAAUUCCUGGUGUAGCGGUGAAAUGCGCAGAUAUCAGGAGGAACACCGGUGGCGAAGGCGGGUCUCUGGGCCGAUACUGACGCUGAGGAGCGAAAGCGUGGGGAGCGAACAGG